ACUAGUCACCCCCUCACUCUAGUGAGGGACGGUGUGACUAGUGACAGAGAGAUGGAGGGGGUGACUAGUGACAGAGAGAGGGAGGGAGUGACUAGUGACAGAGGGAGGGAUGAGGUGACUAGUGACAGUCACCACCUCCUUCACUCUGUCAUUGUGUCACCCCCUUCCUCACUCUGUCACUAGUCACCCACUCCCUCCCUCCCUCUGUCACUAGUCACCCCCUCUCUCACUCUGUCACUAGUCAUCCACUUCCUUACUGUCACUAGUCCGCCCUCCCUCACUCUGUCAC